UCACUGCUAGCCUUGUCCUCCACAUCGAGCCCGUCCUCCACUGUCUAAGCCCCAUGCUGGGGCUCGAUGCCGGCGACCGCGUCCUCUGUUGUCACGCCCCACGCCAGGGCUGGUCGCCGGUGGCUGCGUCUUCCCACGCCCCACGCCGAGGCUCGUUAGUCCCAUGCCGGAACUCAUCACCCGUGGUGCUGCAUAUCUUCUCCGGUGAUGUGCUCCCCGACGAAGCAGUGAGGCGAGGCAGCGGGGGCCUUCUCCAGUGAGCUCCCUUCUCUCCCUUCUUCCUCCGCUGCCGCAUGCCCGAUGCCAGUGCUGCUCCGUUGCCGCAUGCCUGCGCUGCUCCGUUGCCGCAUGCCUACGCUUGUGCUCUAGGGAAUGAGGGAGACGAUACCGUCGCGGGUGCUAGGCGCGGGAUACCAGUAUCUAGCUUUUCCAAAUUGCUAAUCUGAAAAUACUAUAGAACAGUCUCCCGUCCGAACAUGCAUGUGACUAAAUAAUCAUCUACUUAAACAUCUUAUCCAUGUCAGUAUACCACGUAUUUGGUCUUAUCCUAUCCCUGUAUUUCUUCUUCCCCUCCCCCCCUCUCUCCAUCUCCCUCCCUCCCUCUCUCCCCCCCUUCCCCCUCUCACCCUCAUGGCUCAUGGGCGGUGAGCACCAUGUGGUCAUCAGUCCGUGUGGUCAACAACGACUUGUGUGCUGUUGUGGAAAACCAACUCAACUCGAGGUGAAGAAAUCGCAGGGGCCAUUCUUGAGGCUUUUUUGAGGUGGUGGCGAAUCGGAUUGGCAAGUUUUUUUUGUUGGUUUUUCGUGUGGUUUUUAAGCAUUUUUUAGAGGUGAUUUCUCAGGCUAGUUUUGCUCAUUGAUUUGAGUUAGCUAGUCAUAUUGAAGGACUUUGCGUGCUUUUUCCUACGCUUGAUUGCUUGUUUUUAGGGGCAAUGGGAAUAUGUAGGAAUUUUCUGGCUAUGGGAGUAGUUUGUUGUUAUUUUUUAUUAGAUUUUUCCUAGAAUUGAAAUUAUUUCUAUUGAUUUUCCUUGAAUUAUCUCUUGGUACAUUGUGUUUUACGCGUAGUUGGUUAGUUGCUUAUGCAGGUAGAGAAAAGAGAAGGGUUUAUUAAAGUGUAGCUUUCUAACUAUAUAUCUUGUACUGUAGACUGUAGCAGUCCUCUUGCUAAUUACGCGUGCGCAAGAGAGGGACGGGCGCCGGCGCUGCGCAGGAAAUUUUACAUAACGCCCAAAAAUGGAUGAGUGGCUGCCGACGCCAUAUAUCACACACAAGUUGUAUUUUUCUAAGCUUUUAUUAUAUCAAAAUAGUAAAGUUUUUGAACAUAUAUGAUCACGUAAAAGAGCAAUCGUCCAUCAGUGCUUCCAGUUUUUCUUCCAGACGUUUCUUUUUUUUUUGUUGGCUUCAAAACAAAUUAAGCCGGAAGAAACCUUUUUAGUUUAUUUUAAGAAACAAAAUCUCUUCAG
rnacentral:lncRNA from 1 species